UGCCCCCCCGGCCGUAGUGCUCGUCCCUGGGGGUGCCGCCCGGCCGGGCGGGAGCGAAAGGCCGGACUGCGGGCGAUUUCUCUGCGUCAAAAUUUCACCAGGGUGAAAGUGCAUCAGUUGUGAUUGCACUUUGUAGAGGAAUGCAAGCUUCAAAGACUGAAAAUAGAGGAAAAGCAGGACCAUUCUACUGGCUGUCAGCAGCAAAGCCUAAGACAAGUUCUGAGAUUGUAAAUGAAGCCAGAGAUGCUCUUGUAAAUGAAGCCAGAGAUGCUCUACGAACAGUAAAAACUCGAAGACCAUUCACACCUACAGAUGAACAAAGGAAACUUCUUGGGUCCCAGUCCUCACUAUGUCCUCAAAAUAGACCCCCUUCAGUUUUUAGUCUUGAUACAUUCAGUUCUGACUCGUCUGAAUCAAGACCACAUUCUGGUGUUCGUCUAAGCCCACUGGCUCAUAAACCAGUACUAGUAAUUUCUGAAAAAAAACAUGAAGUUGCUUCUGUUUUCCUUCCAACACCUCCUGCUGAUGCUGCAGAGGUUAGAAAAGUCAGCAGUGCUUGGAAAGGCUUAUUUAGAAUAACUUCGCCAAAAGAUUUAUUUUCUGCUAAAGUGGUUCCUCUGGAUCAGAAUGACGUGAAGCUAAAUUUUGAAGAGCCAGCUAUGAUGGUGAAUGAUCUUGACAGAAGUAAUAAUAACUGCUUAGCAGAACAAAAGUUGUACACAUCAUUUAAUGAUGAGAGUAGACAGGUAAUUUGUAAUGAGCAUACCAGCAGAUCAGGAAGUGGCGAAUCCAUGGAAGGGACACCAGUAAAAUUUUCACUUCAGCUGCAAGGAGAAAGAAGUGUCAACAGUGAUGGCAGAUUUGCUGAUGAAGAGCAACAGUUUCCCUGUAACCAGAUGAAAGAGCCUGGCAAAAUGUCAUCACAGCCAAGGACUUCACGCUGGAAGAGAAGAGUUACAGGUUUAAAGGAUGAAACAAGAAUAAAUGGAUGGGAAGAGGAAGAUCUCUUUUGGCAUACAAAGAUUCUACCAAUCCUGCGUGAACUAGAAAAAAAAGACAAUAUAGAACACCUUUGUCUAGCUUGUACCAAGCUCUAUCAAACCUUGGAUGAAGGAAAUAUGCUUGGGAAAAGAUUUAAAAGAAGAAACGUCCUUCUGAAGACAUUAUAUAAACUUGUAGACAUUGAUUCAGAUCCACUUUCCCUGAAGCUGGCAAAGAUUAUUCUGGCUAUGAAAGUAGAUGGAAAAAAUCUUCUUAGUGUUUGCAAGCUAGCAUUUAAAAUUUGUAGGAACAAAAAAAACUAUUUCAUCAUUCAAAAUGAUACAUUAUUGGAUUACUUGUUGCAGGUUCUGUGGGAUGAAGAUCUACAAACAAACAAUGAAGCUCUCAUCUAUUGCAUGGCAGCUAUAAAAUUCAUGUCUGAAAAUGCAGAACUCCGUUUUAAAAUGGUCAGCAAAGGAGCUGUUGAAAUGUUUCUGGAAUUAAUGAAGCAGAUUAAUAACAUAAAAGAACAUGACACAUAUUUCGCCAAGUUGGGCCACUUAUUAGUCCAGCUGGCAGCCACUCUGCGGAUCCUGGCUGACUGCCCCACGGCCCGGCGCCGGCUCAGCGACAGCGCUGCCAUCCCCGAGCUCUGCGUGGCGCUGGAGCAGCGCAGCAGCGACAAGGAUUUGUGUCUCUGCAUCGUCAGGAUCCUCAGCAAACUUUCUACCUACAGUGACUUCUGUGCAGCUUUAGCAGACUGCUCCAGAUGUUACAUCUUAUUUUUAGCCCUACUAAACAAAUACCAGAAGCAGCAGGAUUUGGUUAUCCGUGUCAUCUUCAUUCUUGGCAAUUUAACAGCAAAGAACGACCAAUCCCGGGAGCAAUUUUUUAAAGAAAAAGAAAGUGUUAACAUCUUGACAUCAGUAUUCCAAACCUACUAUGAUCUUGAUUUGAACGCACCAACAGGGCACCGUGAUAGAAAAGGAAAAAACCACCUAAAGCAUCCUUCAGAAGCAGAAGAUGUUCUGAUAAAACUGAUAAGAGUGCUGGCCAACCUCUCCAUUCACCCUAAAGUAGGCGCAGCUCUGGCAGCUGCCCAUCCUGUUGUAGGAUUACUUGUUGGAGUACUGGAAUACAAGUCAGUCGAUGCCUGUGAAGAGCUGGUCAUCAAUGCUGCAACAGCAAUCAACAAUUUGUCCUACUACCAAGUGAAGAAUUCUGCAGUUCAAGACAAGAAGCUACACAUUGCUGAAAUGCUUUUAAAGCUGUUAAUGAGUGACAAUAUGGAUGCAGUUCUGGAGGCUGUCAGAGUCUUUGGCAAUCUUUCCCAGCAUCAUGAGAUCCGUGACUUCAUCAUGCAGAAAAAGAUAUACAAGUUCAUGAUUGCUUUGCUGGAUUCCAAGAACCGAGAGGUCUGUUUUCCUGCCUGUGGAGUUCUGCUCAAUCUCACCGUAGAUGAGGACAAACGAGCUUUUCUGAUGGAAGAAGGAGGAAUUGGAAAGUUGGUUGACUGCUUACAAGACUUUGGGCCAGCAGACUGGCAGCUCUCGUGUUUGAUCUGCAAAACCCUGUGGAACUACAGCGAGAGCAUGAGGAGCGCGGCCUCCUGCUUCAGAGGAGACACCAACACGCUGCUGGUGCUGCUCACAGCGCUUCUAGAUGAAGAGGUAGAGUUGGAAUGCAGCCUUGACAGAGAUAUAAAGGACUGCCAAAGAGUUUAUUGGGAAAGAGAGUUCAAACCCGUGGCAGAAAAACUUCUUGACAGAAUUCAAAGCCAUCACUCUUCAGCUGAGUCUAUCACUCCAUUUUAAUCAGUCGAGAGUUUUUUUGUCAGCUGAAGUUGAAGGGAAGAUAAAUGGCUGCAAUGUCCCAUUUGUAGCUGGGAGAAAAGAAUGGAUUUGCUUUGAGAGUACUAAAGAAAGGAUGAUGGCAUUGACUUAAGGCAAGGCCAAGAAAUACCUUUCCAAAGAAAAACUGAAGAACGUAAACUUAGUGAUUCAAUAUCUGGGAGUUAACAGCAGGAAAUGUGACUGGAAGGUGCAAUUCAGACUGUAAGCCAGCAGCAGAGCUUUUAGCCUUUAACAAAGGAACUACUUUGGGGCUAUCCAUGCCAGAAGGACUGGGGACUGGAAAGACCUUGGGCCAGCCAGAGAGCUGUUCCAGGUCUGCUGCCAAGGGAUGGAUGGAUCUUGCACCACUUCCCUGCCUCUCCAGGAUACAGGCAAGCAGCUGAGGUGAAGCUCUACCAUUCUCAUGUCUAACCCCCUGUACUGCUCAGAGCUUGCCCAGUCCAUGUCAGCUGUUAGCCAGUACACAGGCAGGAGGAAAGGGGAGAUUAUUUCAGCCUGGAAGCAUGACACUUCCCAAUGACUUGACUGUGAGCAGAACCUCAGGAGCAUCAGCUAAAGCUUAAGCUGUGUGGCUGUGUCUGUCAGGGAGACACUGAUCUGGGGCCCGUGGCUAUCCCUCAGCAUGCACACCAA